AUGAACGCUGGCGGCGUGCCUAAUACAUGCAAGUCGAGCGAACAGACGAGGAGCUUGCUCCUCUGACGUUAGCGGCGGACGGGUGAGUAACACGUGGAUAACCUACCUAUAAGACUGGGAUAACUUCGGGAAACCGGAGCUAAUACCGGAUAAUAUAUUGAACCGCAUGGUUCAAUAGUGAAAGACGGUUUUGCUGUCACUUAUAGAUGGAUCCGCGCCGCAUUAGCUAGUUGGUAAGGUAACGGCUUACCAAGGCGACGAUGCGUAGCCGACCUGAGAGGGUGAUCGGCCACACUGGAACUGAGACACGGUCCAGACUCCUACGGGAGGCAGCAGUAGGGAAUCCUCCGCAAUGGGCGAAAGCCUGACGGAGCAACGCCGCGUGAGUGAUGAAGGUCUUCGGAUCGUAAAACUCUGUUAUUAGGGAAGAACAAAUGUGUAAGUAACUAUGCACGUCUUGACGGUACCUAAUCAGAAAGCCACGGCUAACUACGUG
rnacentral:rRNA from 1 species